rnacentral:rRNA from 1 species
AGCCGCAGCGAAAGCGAGUCUGAAUAGGGCGUCUAGUCGCAUGCCAUGGACCCGAAGCCAGGUGAUCUAUCCAUGGACAGGGUGAAGCGAGGGUAAGACCUCGUGGAGGCCCGAACCCACCUAGGUUGAAAACUGGGGGGAUGAUCUGUGGAUAGGGGUGAAAGGCCAAGCAAACCUGGCGAUAGCUGGUUCUCCCCGAAAUAGCUUUAGGGCUAGCGUCGUAUGUUCCGCAUUGGGGGUAGAGCACUGAUUGGGUUAGGGGGCCAACAAGCUUACCAACCCCAGUUAAACUCCGAAUCCCAAUGCGCCAAGUACGGCAGUCAGACCAUGGGGGAUAAGCUUCAUGGUCGAAAGGGAAACAGCCCAGACCGCCAGUUAAGGUCCCAAAGUCAGAACUAAGUGGGAAACGAUGUGGAGUCGCCCAAACAGCCAGGAGGUUGGCUUAGAAGCAGCCACCCUUUAAAGAGUGCGUAACAGCUCACUGGUCGAGUGAUUCCGCGCGGAUGAUGUAACGGGGCUCAAGUUCUGCACCGAAACUGCGGGAUUCUGUCAUUCAAACCCAGGCCUUCGUGGUCCAGGGGACAGAUUCGGUAGGGGAGCGUCGAACGGCCGACGAAGCCGCAGCGAAAGCGAGUGGUGGAGGCCGUUCGAGUGAGAAUGUCGGCAUGAGUAGCGAAUGAGGAGUGAGAAUCUCCUCCGCCGGAUGUCCAAGGUUUCCUGGGGAAGGCUCGUCCGCCCAGGGUUAGUCGGGACCUAAGGUGAGGCCGAGAGGCGUAAUCGAUGGAUAACGGGUUGAUAUUCCCGUACCACUAUGCAAGCGUCCAGGCCGAACCCAACUUGCUAAGGAAAGCCCUUCGGGGCCUACCGACCCAGUUGGUAUUAGGCCAGCAAUGGAGUGACGCGGAAGGGUAAGCGGACCCGGGCGCUGGUUGACCCGGGGUAAGCGUGUAGGACGAGAUCCAGGCAAAUCCGGAUCUCACCAAGUCUGAGGCGCGAUGCCGAACCGCAUGAGGUGAAGCCGCUGAACGCCCAUGCCGCCGAGAAAAGCUUCUAGCGAGCAUGCAUGGUGCCCGUACCCCAAACCAACACAGGUGGACAAGUAGAGAAUACUAAGGCGAGCGAGAAAACUCUGGUUAAGGAACUCGGCAAAAUGGCUCCGUAACUUCGGGAGAAGGAGCGCCCCAGUAGGGUGUAGGACUUCGCGUCCGAAGCCCGAUGGGGUUGCAGAGACCAGGCCCAAGCGACUGUUUACUAAAAACACAGGAGCGUGCGAAGUCGCAAGACGCAGUAUACGCUCUGACGCCUGCCCGGUGCUGGAAGGUCAAGGGGAUGGGUUAGCUCUUCGGAGCGAAGCUGUGGAAUCAAGCCCCAGUAAGCGGCGGCGGUAACUAUAACCGGCCUAAGGUAGCGAAAUUCCUUGUCGGGUAAUUGAAUUGCC